rnacentral:lncRNA from 1 species
GAAAAUCUUAGGUGAUGUAAGGGAUGUAAGGCUUGAACUAUGUCAUAAUUCUGCAAUUCCUAUGGCCUUGGUUUACGUAUUUAUCUACUUUUCUGGUAGAUGAGCUGCAUAUUUGACCUCUUAAAUUAGCCGUUCGAUGGUUGGCUGAGGCUGGAGUUGCUGUGCCUGCUAGAGGUUCCAGAUUGUAAAAUUUAAUGCCAUCUAAUUAAACCUUUUGAAACCGCAUUGAUGAAUGGUGGAACAAGGCUCAGCCUCCGCCCGUGUAUUGCAUGAUGGCGGUGAAUUGCAUAAGAAAGAACAGUACGUACGGUACAGCACAGGUUGCCAUCUGAUCUAUUCGGUGGGCCCGACGGAGAACACUAUGGGCGACUUCGUGCGAAGAGGAGGUAGCUUGGAAAAGCAGCGCAGACCGACGCAAGGGAGGGAGCCUUCGUGCGUUCUCCUGCUCGCACGAUUAGAUUCUUUCCGUGCGCUUUGUUAUGUAAGGAUACAAUUGUAAUUCUAUGAUUUUGUCGCGAGUAUUUUGGAUGAAAGGUAAAAUUUUAUAAAGCCCAAAAAAAAAAAGCUUCACGA